rnacentral:lncRNA from 1 species
CUAUAACAAAAAAUUCAAGAAAAGUUGUAUUCCAUACUCUUAAUCAAAGCAUGUAGCAUUCCAGUCAUCACUCUCUCUCUCCUCCCCCUCUCUCUAGAAAUUAAGCAAAGAAAAAGAGAAAAGGUUAGCCGAAAAAGCUAACCAAAGCUAUCUCUAGCUAUAGCACACAGUAAAUCCAAAGAUCUUGAAUAAUUUUUCUCCCCAUUCCUACACUCUUCUUCAAUUUUUCCUCUAUGUCUGAUGAUCAAAACAAGUAUCCUUAUCAACCCUACAAUUGUUUUCAUCAUGAUCUGAAUAUGGUAUCAGGGUUUAUCGGAUCAAACCCUGUUGGAUUUGAUCCUUCUCAUAUGAGCUUCACUGACUGCUUGCACGAAGCAGUGCAUUACAACACUCUAUCAAGUGCCUUUGACAUUUCUUGUUCAUCAUCUCAUGCUGUUAAUUAUCCUGCAAAUGAUACUUGUAAUCCAAACAAAGAUAUCAGUGUUGGAGCGCCAUCUGCUGCAGGAGGGAAUAAUGAAAAUCCAUUGACGCCGAAUUCUACCGAGUUUUCGUCUUCUUCUGCGGUUGGAGGUGAAGAGGAAUCCUCAAAAAGCAAGGAAGAUCUGCAGAAAAAAGUGUUUGAAGAUGAAGAGGAAAAGUCUAAAAAAGCGUAGGUAUUUUGGGGGUUUUCUACUUGAUUUUUCUUUGCCAUUACUAUCAAGGUGGACUUUUUUGGUCCUUUGCUAAUUUUCAAUUUAUUCAUAAUUAUACUUAUUUACAGAACUGAAGAAAAAUAGUAGGAUGGUUUUAUAUUUUUCUACUUACUUUCUUCUUCUUAAAUCAAUUGUGCUUAUUUGUAUGUUCAUAUCUUGAAAUUGAAACUAUGUAUGUAUGAAACAAAACCCUAAUUUUUCAACAACUAUUACUUCAAAUCUAGUUCAUGGAAAUGAAUUUUCACACUUUAUUUAAUUAAUUAACUGCUACUUAAUUAUUUUCCAGGAACAAACCAAAACAGAAAGGGGAGAAAAAGAAACGAGAACCGCGUUUUGCCUUCAUGACAAAGAGUGAAAUCGAUAAUCUUGAAGAUGGUUAUAGAUGGAGGAAAUAUGGCCAGAAAGCAGUGAAAAAUAGCCCUUUUCCAAGGUUAUUAUAUAUCUUUAAUUUCCUGCCCAUGAUAAUUUCUUCACCUGCAGUACAAUGCGAAAUAAUUGAUUAGUAUCAAUAUAACUUAUAUUUCAAGUUUGUUAAUUAAUGAAAACUUUGAUUUUAUGCUAUGUCUUCAAAGUAUUAUUGAUUAGU